ACUUCGGACCUCACGCUAUCAGAUGAGCCUAGGUCGGAUUAGCUAGUUGGUGGGGUAAUGGCCCACCAAGGCGACGAUCCGUAACUGGUCUGAGAGGAUGAUCAGUCACACUGGAACUGAGACACGGUCCAGACUCCUACGGGAGGCAGCAGUGGGGAAUAUUGGACAAUGGGCGAAAGCCUGAUCCAGCCAUGCCGCGUGUGUGAAGAAGGUCUUCGGAUUGUAAAGCACUUUAAGUUGGGAGGAAGGGCAGUAAGUUAAUACCUUGCUGUUUUGACGUUACCAACAGAAUAAGCACCGGCUAACUUCGUGCCAGCAGCCGCGGUAAUACGAAGGGUGCAAGCGUUAAUCGGAAUUACUGGGCGUAAAGCGCGCGUAGGUGGUUCAGCAAGUUGGAUGUGAAAGCCCCGGGCUCAACCUGGGAAUUGCAUCCAAAACUACUGAGCUAGAGUACGGUAGAGGGUGGUGGAAUUUCCUGUGUAGCGGUGAAAUGCGUAGAUAUAGGAAGGAACACCAGUGGCGAAGGCGACCACCUGGACUGAUACUGACACUGAGGUGCGAAAAGCGUGGGGAGCAAACAGGAUUAGAUACUCUGGUAGUCCACGCCGUAAACGAUGUCGACUAGCCGUUGGGAUCCUUGAGAUCUUAGUGGCGCAGCUAACGCGAUAAGUCGACCGCCUGGGGAGUACGGCCCGCAAGGGUAAAAACUCAAAUGAAUUGACGGGGUGCCCGCACCAACCGAUGGAGCCUUUUGUUUUUAAUUUCGAAGCAACGGAAA
rnacentral:rRNA from 1 species